UGGGGAAUAUUGGACAAUGGGCGAAAGCCUGAUCCAGCCAUGCCGCGUGUGUGAAGAAGGUCUUCGGAUUGUAAAGCACUUUAAGUUGGGAGGAAGGGCAUUAACCUAAUACGUUAGUGUUUUGACGUUACCGACAGAAUAAGCACCGGCUAACUUCGUGCCAGCAGCCGCGGUAAUACGAAGGGUGCAAGCGUUAAUCGGAAUUACUGGGCGUAAAGCGCGCGUAGGUGGUUCGUUAAGUUGGAUGUGAAAAGCCCCCGGGCUCAACCUGGGGAAACUGCAUCCAAAAACUGGCGAGCUAGAGUACGGUAGAGGGUGGUGGAAUUUCCUGUGUAGCGGUGAAAUGCGUAGAUAUAGGAAGGAACACCAGUGGCGAAGGCGACCACCUGGACUGAUACUGACACUGAGGUGCGAAAGCGUGGGGAGCAAAACAGGAUUAGAUACCCUGGUAGUCCACGCCGUAAACGAUGUCAACUAGCCGUUGGGUUCCUUGAGAACUUAGUGGCGCAGCUAACGCAUUAAGUUGACCGCCUGGGGAGUACGGCCGCAAGGUUAAAACUCAAAUGAAUUGACGGGGUCAUAGCUGUUUCCUG
rnacentral:rRNA from 1 species